UUGGAGCGUCGUACCCGCGCUUUAAGGGGCAGGCUCUGGGGGCGGGGCCCGGGCCGGCGCGGGAAAACCGCUGAAGCGCGCGAUUCCCGGCCGGGGCGCACCUUGACUUCGGCCUGAUGGUGGUCUCGCUUCGUUUAAUUCAUUAUUUUGCACGUAGCAAGCCUCCAAAGACUGGCAGUAUAAAAAUAUGAGGAUCAUCUCAAUGUGGCGGUGAGAACUCAUGGAUGGGUUAAUGAGCUCUAGCCUUACUCGGUUGCCUCACCUGAGGUGGAAUUUGCAAUCCUCCUGCCUCGGUCUCCUGAGUAACUGGAAUAAUAAGCAUGCACUGCUUUGCCCAGCUCCUCUCUUCCUUGCAGCAAUAGGAUCCUGAUUUUUAUUUCGGACAGUGAUGCCUAGAUAAAAGGAUUCAUUCUCCACCUCUCUCUGCAGUUAAGUAUGAUAAUGUGCUAGCCAUUGCAAGGACUUUUAGGAAGGCUACUAAAGGAAGUUGACUUAGCUUGGCAAUGGGCACUUUUGUUCUUUCCCCUUCUUCCCUCCUAAUCCCUGGAAUUGGGAUGUGAUGAAUGAACUCCGGCAGUCUAUGGGUCCAUGAGCAAAUACUGGCAAAGCAGUUAAGACAGGGAGGCUAGAUGGCUGCAACAUCUUUCCAAACCUAGACUUCCUUCCCUUGGAUAUGUUUUACAUGAAUAAAUAAAUAAACUUCUACUUUGGUUUUAAGUAUGUUAUUUCUUUUAGAUGCAGCCAAAUCCAAUUCUAAUGAUACAUUUCAAGUUUGCUCUAUAAAGAUGUAGAAGAGGAGAGUUAUACUGACAGAUGUGUUUGAUGAAAACUCAAUGUUAACUCGUAUUCACCAAUACAAUUGCCCUUUCCUUUAAACAGGUUCAAAAUUCUAGUUUCUAAGAUGGCUCUAAAAGGUAGACUAUUUUUCAAAGCAAAAUAAACCAAAUCCUUUACACAUCCUAUAGAAACCAUCUUGACAUUAAUUUCUUUCGAAAGUAUAAGCAAUUUGAUUUGAAUUAAUGUCAGGAGGAUACAUCUCUAGUAGGGAAAAUUUAGCUAAAUAAGAACCCCAGAUGUGUGGGCAAGGGACAGCAAGGAAAUAUUAAUGUUACCCUGUAAUGGUUAAUUUGAAAUGUCAACUUGAUUGGAUUAAGAGACACCAAUGAUUAAUAGGCUUCUGGGUGUGUCAAUGAGGGUGUGUCUGGGAAUGAUUGGCAUGUGGGAUAGCAAACUGAAGUGGAGACCCUCCCUAAGCUUGGACAGCACCAUCUAUCAGGAUGGUGGCUUGGAUGGAAUAAAAGUUGGAAGAACAAGGAAGCAAGAGCAGAUGCAAGCUUGAUUCUUCUUGGAAGGGUUCUUUUCUUAAUUGCUACUGUGACCUCCUGAGGAUAUCAGACUCUUGCUUUUUGACUUUUUCAAAGCAGACUCUGCCAGUGAUUCUCCAGGGAGUUUCCAGAAGCCUUUGGUCUAUGACUAGGGUAGCACUGUUGAUCCCUCUUGUUCUGGGACCUCAGCCUCUUGGACUGCAGGGCUACUGGUUCCUCCAGUUCUCCAGCCUACAGACAGCCACUAUGGACCAUCCAGCUUCUGACUGUCUGAACAAAUUGCUUAGCUCCUCCAAGUAUAACCUCCCACAGUCUCAUUCCACAUGUGGACACAAAAGGAGGCACAGGACCCAAACUGAUCUCAGAGUAAAGAUGAAGAUUUUUCUAUGAUUGGGGGAGAGUUUUUGUCUCAAUAAACAAACAAAAAAUG